CUUCACCGAACCCAACAGCAGCGGGCGGCCGUCCGGACGCUCCUGGCCGUAGGUCGCCAGCAGCGCCUGCGCCUC
rnacentral:antisense_RNA from 1 species